AACACUGAAGAUGUUAAGAUGGGUCCUAAGAAACUCCGCAUGCA
rnacentral:tRNA from 1 species